rnacentral:pre_miRNA from 2 species
AACAAUUUGUCCUGCGUCCCACAGCGUUUUAAGAAAGUCCCUAUUUUUGAAAGAAUCUUGAAAACGCCGUGGGACGCGGGACGAAUUGUUAA